UGCCCGGUCGGCUAACGGUAGGCCGCCUGACUAUGGAUCAGGUAAUCUUAGUUCGAAUCUAAGCUGGGCAGCCA
rnacentral:tRNA from 1 species